AGAAGACCGGGAUUCUUGUUAUGUUAAUCACUUUGAUCCUUUCUCUUCUCUGACGAAAUAUUCGGCGAAGCAGUGUCGCCUUUUGCUCUAACGUUACAUGUUCCUCCGGUGGUCUCUGCUGUAAGGUGGAGCUAGCUCCAGCCGUAGCUGCUGGUUAUGGUGUUCUUCUUCUUGGAGGCGGCCUCUUAGCAUUAUACUGCUUCUAUAGCAUACUGCUAUUGCUAAUGCUCUACCUAUCGAGACCUUAUGAGAGAAGGACGUUACCAAUCAAGAACUUACGAGAGAAGGAGGUUUAAGAAGAAUGAAGUAAAGAGUGGAGUGGAAGAAACGAGGGAAUAAGCUUGAAGUCUUUUAAAACAAAUAAGCAGAUGACACGUGCUUGUAUAAGAAAGAAGUAUAAAUACUAGUAUUGUUUCUGUUAUACGGUUAUGGUUAUCGAAGAUUACAAUUGUAAAACUUAGCAUAUGAGCUAGGAUCUACUCAGGUGAUGAGAGUAGAGUGAUACUCAGGUGAAAGAGUAUCAAUACAGUUGUAGUUCUCGAGUUGAUUCAUCAAUAUACUAUGUUACUCCAGAGAUCCAAUCUUUGAUCUUAAUAGUAAGCUAACCCCGCCUUCUUCCAAAACUUAUCCCAGGAAGCAUCGGUCUUGCAUGUGAUCGGUUCUUGUUCCAGAUGAGCUUGACCAAGGUUCCUUUACCUCUCAGGUAUUGUAUGAGUACACUUUGGUUUUUGUCCUUGUACUUGAGCCCGAUUAUAUUGACACAACUGUAGACUACAUCACUUAAAAAGAAGCACUUUUAAUUUCCUUAUAAAUAAGCUUGUUAUUAACAGUAUGCGUCUCAUAUAAAGUGGAUUAUGUUUCCAGCGGUUAUUUUUAUUCUUUUUGUUUUUGUAAAUUUGUUUAAAUCCAACGAACAUGAAUUGACUCGGUAGAAAGAAAAGAAUUGAAACUAGUCACUGCUUUAACAUUUUUAAAAAAAACUUGUAUAACCUAUUAUAAAUUUAGAUGAUUAUUAUAAUUUAUAAAAAUACUUUAGAAUAAAAAUAAUAAUUUAUUUUCAUUUGGUAAUAAUUGUAAGAUAAUAAAAUAUAAUCGACUUAUAUUCAUUUUUUAUAAAAAUGUAUUCAAAAUAUGAUUUAUUAUUUAUUAUAUUUUCUAGAUUUUGUAAUCUAAACAAUUUUAGGUUUAGUUUUGUAUAAAAUUGAGAAUCAAAUCGAAUUAGAACCUGAUAGACAAUGUUUUCAUUUCAGUAAAACCUGAUAGGGUGCGUUGAAAUUCACGUAAACCUGUUUUCAUUUCAAUUUUGGACUUUAAACAGCAAAUAGUAAUGGAAUUAACCAAACCGAACCUAUCAAACCAAACCGACCCGAAUACGAUACUUUUCUACCAUAUGAAUAUAUAUGCAAGUUGCAUCAAAAAGCUAUGUAUAGAAAGCCAUAUAAAUAUGAGGGCACUGCGGUAUGUAAAGGUGGAUGAUGUGUUUCAUAUCAAACGUCACCUAUCUGCGGUACAACAGCAUAUAUGGUUGGGUAAGAGUUUAUUUUCAUUGCAGGUCACUUUCCAUCUUUUUAUUACAUUGUAGAUCACAAUGUGCUACUGAGGUAGUUUAGUAUGGUUGAAGACCAAUUUGACCUUUGUAAAGGUAAACCAAGUAUGAGUAAUUAGGUAACUGGACAAAUAAUUUCUAGUUGGGCUAGUUAUAAGAUUUGAAAUUUAAAAAUCCAUGAGUUUAGGUGGUGGACACGUAGGAGAGUUAAAAUUAGUUUUUUUUUACCUUGGGUCCAACAAAAAGUUUAGACUUUAUCCUUUUUUUCAUCGUGGGUAAAAGUAGAUCUAAUUGCACUGGAGAAGGCGGCGAACGAAAUCAGCGACGAAGAAUGUUUAAACUGACGGAGAAGACGAUGUCGUCGAGAAAAAACGAGAAUCAAAGGGGAAAGGAAAAGGUUAGACACUUUUCUCGCUUUACUACUUUCCGGUUGUGGGGUUAGGGUUUCAAUUAAGUUUUCUGAUUCUGGGAUUUACUAUUUAUGGGUUAGAUUGCCGAGAUUUCUAAGAUGUUUAUGGUGCUUUUUUGGUUUGAUUAACAAAGAUUCAGCAACAAGAGGAGGGAGCAGUAGAUGAAAGGUAUGUAUGAACGCCACUUGCGAUGUUGUACAUGUUAAUAUGAAUGUAUAGUUGUACAAUGUUGUGUGAGGGUAUGUAUGUACAAAGGGGGGUUGAGUGUACAUAAUGACUAGGUUGUAUGUAUGUACAUGGAGAGUUGGGUAUACAUGAGGAUUUAAAUUUUGCGUGUAUUAGAAUCUGACACUAGCCCUAAUUUUCUAUAUUGUUUUUUUGGCAGAGACGACGCCGAUGGAAGUGGUAGACAAGGAAUCGCCGCCUGAGGCUCUUUGCAGUGACCUAUUAUGAUAUUAAAAGUUGGAAAGUGACCAUGAGUGUAAUUGUUUCGUUGGGUAAAAUACUAGAGUUAUUAACAUUGCAGGUCACUUUUAAGUUUUUAUUGUCACUCUAGAACACUUAUAGCUACCGAGGUACUUUCGGUGGUUAAUUACACCAAUAACCUCCCAACGGUAGCAAACUGAACUUUGGCUUUAUUUUUUUUUCUGUUUCCUCACUUGUUAUUUUUUUGGUGGGUUUUAAAAUAUGUUGAAUUUUAAAUUGGUAAAAUCUCUCUCUCUCUCUCUCUCUCUCUCUCUCUCUCUCUCUCUCUCUCUCUCUCUCUCUCUCUCCCUCUCUCUCAAUUUUUCAGAUAUGUCAAAUUAAACGUCCAACUUUUUUCCGGCGAGAAUCUUGAGGCUUUAAUAAUCUAUACAAAAGGUUGAGUUUUAUGGAGUCUUAGGUUUGAUGUUUCCCAGAUGUGUUGUCUAAAGUAAUAUGGAACCAAUUGACACAAGACAAGAAGAAAUUCCUUAGUUAUGGAAGAGGUUUUGCUAAGAGAUAACAACAAGUUAACAACAUAGAUCUAUAGUUUCUUUGAGAACUAUAAGUCUGGCUGGUGUUAUCUUGCUAUGUGAGGUUCUCAUCUGUAAUUUCUACAGCUUUUUUGUUGUUAAUUUGAAAGAAUUCUCGUCAAACUCAAAUUGAAAAACUAAACAUGAGUUAAUAAUGACUCAUGUUUCACUUUUGUUGAAAUCUGAUCAUGGUUUUGUUAUACAUGGUAACUUGAGAGGAAGGUUGGAUGUGAAUAUGAUGCUGGAGACGGUGGAGAAGAAGAAUCCCAGUGGCAGAUUCAUCUGUUGCAUUAACAUGGUGAAGAUUCAUCUCAGAAACAGAGGAGAUGAUAGCUUUGAUGGUUCAGCUGAUUGUUGGCAGUUACAAAGCCACGUAAAUCUGAUUUGAGCAAAGAGAUAGGUGUGUCUGCAGAAGAGAAGGCAAUGGGAUCUUUGGACCGGUCGAUGAACACUAUUUUGUCUCAAUUUUACUUUUCGUGACGCUUUAGUUUGUGGAUAUUAUAACUGUGUACACCCUGACAGCAAAUAAAUAGUGUACAUAUGGAUAGUAAUCUUACUGUACAUACAAAUCGUGUCUAAUAACCUGAACGAUGUGAUUUCUUUUGGUUAACUAGUAUAUGAUUAUCUUUGACUAUAAUGAGAAGGCUUUAUCAUCCUAACGAGAAGGCUAGAUCAAUCAUUGUAACAAGAAGGCUUGAUCAUCCUAAUGUACUGAAGUUAGAAGCUUGAUCAAUAUGUCUGGUUUCCUCUUCUCUUUACUUUUAUUUUGUAUAUAUAUAUAUAUAGAAAAUGAGCGUAUAAGCCAAGCUGAUACAAAGCAAAACUACAAAAAUAUGUACAAUCACAAUUAAACACAUGUACAUAUGUACACUAAACAAAUGUACAUAUGUUUCACAAACCCUCCCACUGACCGUAUAUAUGCUUUAUAAACAUUUCCAUUCUAAAUAGGAUUUAAGCAACUAAUAUUCCUCUUUCUCUAUUAGGUUAGUGCAAUCAGAGAAAAAAACUUGUUUCAGGUUAUAAAUAUGUACACUCUGACAGUAAAUAAAUAGUGUACAUAUGGAUAGUAAUUUUAUUGUACAUAUAAAUCUUGUUUAAUAACCUGAAUGAUGUGAUUUCUUUUGGUUAACUAGUAUAUGAUUAUCUUUGACCAUAAUGAGAAUGCUUGAUCAUCCUAAUGAGAAGUCUAGAGCAACCAUUGUAACGAGAAGGCUUGAUCAUUCUAUUGUACUGAAGUUAGAAGAUUGAUCAAUAUGUCUGGUUUCAUCUUCUCUUUACUUUUAUUUUGUAUAUAUAUAUAGAAAAUGAGUGUACAAGCCAAGCUGAUACAAAGAAAAACUACAAAAAUAUGUACAACCACAAUUAAACACUCAUAUGUACACUAAACAAAUGUACAUAUGUUUCACAAACCCUCCUACUGACCGUACAUAUGCUUUACAAACCUUUCCAUUCUAAAUAGGAUUAAGCAACUAACUUUCCUCCUUCUCUAUUAGGUUAGUGCAAUCAGAGAGAAAAAACUUGUUUUAGACAAAUGUAUUGAUUGCAUUAUUUCAGAAAUUUGUCUAUGCUACUAUUUUGUGCUAUGACUGUGUAAAAAAUGUGUUUGGGAAUGUUUUUAUCGGCAUUUGAUAUUUCUUUUUUUAGAUCUUGUUCUUGUAUUUGCAUAUUGCAACAUAUGUAUGGCCAACAUUAAUGUCCAUGUGUACACAUAGACCUCAUUAUCCACGUGUACGUAUCCACAUGUACACCGGUUGGUAAUAUCCACAGCUUACGAUAUCCAUGUGUACAUCAAUGUCAUGACUAAAAUAAUAUUUUCAAGCAUGCUUUCACUCAAUCCCUCAACAUAAGAAAAAAAAAAGAACUUACAAAAGCGUCAAAGCUUUUAUUCAUGGUGUCGGAGUGUCCAAAUUCUCCACCAUACGGAGAUGAUGAUUCAUGCAUAAGUAUCAAGAAAGGGGUGAAGGAGAGCUCGCGUCGGUUACGGCGGUGUUGUGACGGUUAUGGUGUUGACGAUGGGAGUACAUAUGAGGAAAUGGGUGGAUGUAAUUAGAGAACUGAACAAACCUUUGUCCCACGAGUCCAUGACCAUCAUUAACAAACCUUCUAACAAUUGAAAAACCAACAAUUUUGCUAUGUCAUCUACGUCGUCGUCGAUGUCACCUACUGCCAACGUCUCCGCCGUCAUCUAUGUUCUCCCACUGUCGUCUAUGUCACCAUUUAACCAUCAUCACCAUCAUCAGACCAGCAUCUUGGUACAUCUCAAAAAAUAGAUCGAACAACAUAGAUAAUCAUUUGAAGUGAAUUAUGUUGGAAAAGAAAUAUGAAAAAGCAAAUCUGGAUGAAGAAGAGAGAGUGAGACCUACUAUAUUUUUUCAAUUAACGAAGUCUUUUAGAUUUUGUUAUAAUAGAACUAUGGUUUACUAUUUGAAAAAAAAAAAAGGUUAGUUUUGGAAUUUUGUAUGCUCCACAUAUGUGGUUUCUCAUGGAAAAGAGUGAAAAACUGCUCUAGUAGUUAUAAGUGUCUUAUAGUGUUAUAAAAAGUCAAAAAGUGACCUUGGGUGUAAUUGUUUCAAAAUACUAUGUGCACCAACUAGCUACAAGAGAUGUAAUAGCAAAAAGAUGCAAGAAAGAAAUAAGAUGAGGAGAAGAAAACCAUCGUUUAAAAAUAAAGAUAGACUGAUCAAAUAACAAUGGUACAAAGAGAGCUGACUAGUUACAUAAAGUAGAGAAUAAACUCUCGAAAUAAUAAACAGAACCAGUGAGUCUGUUAGGUUGGAAGAGUAACUCAUACGAUUGGGUAUGGGGAUCAUGUAUCACCAGUGGGUCAAUGCAAGCACCGCUUUGAAGCAAAAUCCGACCCUUGUCCAGAUUUGCUAUUGGUAAAAGCGUGAAGUCAGUACUCCACCAAGAAGAAAUUGGGUUGAGGUCAAGUGAACACAUUGUCUUCCAUGUCUUGCCUGAAGAAUCAAACGACCAUAUUACUUGGGUGUUCUCUUUUCUCUUUCUCUCAGACACGCACAAACGGUUAUCGAGGAUGCACAUGGUGAGCAGGUGAGGAUCACAAGGGUGGGCAAUGGGAGCUUUACAGAUGAGUUGGAAUGUCACGGUGUGAAGAUCAAAAGAUAGUACCAUGGGUUCUUCACACGCGGUGAACCAAUAAAGAGACCCAUCUAAAUGGACGGGUUUAUGGUAACAAUUGAUCGGAUAAGGAGAAGCAGGGAUAACGUACCUCCAAGUGUUGGUGCUAAAAUCAAAAACUUCGCAGUGAGGAACAAACUUUGGUACAAACCCGGAUUAAUUAUACAACCAAACCGGCUUGUAAGUGCCUCUUAGUUUAUCUUUACCAAAUCCAAGCCUAGGGAUUGAUACCACUCAAAUUACCCUAAGGAUUGAUUUAUACUCUCUCAAAUAAGAGGUCGAGUUGUAGUACUUAGGGAUCGAAUUCACAGGGAGCUAGAAAACCUAAGAAAUCUAAUAUGAUUUGUUAAGCAAGAUGGUUUUAGAGAUUUAAAUGUAAAUUGCAGUUUAAUAUUGAACAAGUGUUUGUUCAAUAUGAUUGGUUGAGGUUUUGGUGCUUAAAAAGGAAAUAGUUAGACUUAAGCUUUUUACAGGAAAAUUGGGAUUAUAAUCCUACAGAUGUCUAAUUAGUUGCAUGCAUGAUAAUGUAAAGCUCAACUACUUGAUCAACAAGUCAAUCAGCUCUCGCAUGUUUUGACUUGUCUAUUAACUAGAUCUAGUGAUCUCAACUCUCGUUAUUUUGAUCAAUAGAAAGUGUCGAUCGAUAAUCCUAUAGGGAUAUCGAUCGAUACACCAUUUGCUCCGUCGAUCGAUUAUUCAAGUAUGGUAUAGAUCCACGCGCUCUAGUCAAGCUUUAUGUGCGGGUUGACUAAUUGCUUACUAAGCUCACUAGACCAGCUCUCGCCUUGCUCAUAGCAAGAAACAUAGUUCAAUUAGAAUGUUUUCAAGAUGAGAAUGAAUCUCUCGCUUUUAUCAAUCAAUCCUAUGGCAAGUUCUAGGUAGCUAAUCUAGACACAAGCAUUAAUGAACAAUCCUAAUAAUGAUUAUCACAACUCAACAAUCUAUAGUUGGGGCUAAUCAAUCAUAACCUAUUUAAACUCUAAAAUCUAACAAUGGAACUACUCAGACAUGGCUAAGCCAUUCAUAACAUCAAUUAAGUAUGAUAACUUCAUUAGAAUAUUAAAUAGAUAUUAAUGGAGUUCCAAUCAUAAAUUAUAACUUUGGAUCUUCUCUCUAAUCUAUCAAAAUCCUAAAAAUAAUGCUGUGAAAAUAAUAAAACUAGAAAAGCACACUUUGCCUCUAACAUGGCGGCAAAGCUUAUAUAAUUAGGGUAAAACUCGUGAGGGGUAAUUUUGUAAAAUGGUGAAGACUUGGGCUUCAAGUCGGCUGUGACCAAACGGGCUUUCUGCACGCUUCGCUGUCGAUCGAUACACAGAUGUGAGUAUCGACCGAUUAUUCAUCUCCAAUAUCGACCGAUGGUCGAGCUCGAUGGUCAUCUCGGGUGUUUGCUCCAAAUAUCUCCAAAAUUCUCCAAAAUCAUCACUUAUCUCCAAAACACUCAUGAUCUUAUAAAUAUAAUAAAUAGACUUUAUAAUAUAAUAAUUAUUAAUAAAAACACCUAUAAACUAUGGAUAAAAAUGGGUCAAAUCCAUAGUCUAUCAGGGAUUGUGCAUUCCAUAAAUCCAUUCUCGUCCCCCUGAAUGAUGAGGUGUUGUAGUUGGAAAGAGGAAGAAUCCGAUGCCAUCCAAUGGCGGGAUUGGCAACAACACUCAGUUCGAACAUACAUAAGACGCAUAUUAGACCGUCACAACUACUAUAGCAGAACAUGCUACACGUAAUAGGGAACUUGAAAGUCCAAUCUAUUGAUGACCCAAACACAAAUGUUCGAUCAUAAUCUAGGUCCUCAUGGUCUUCAUAGCAGAGAUUCAAGAUAAGGACAUCGGGACCACGUAAUUGCUUGCGGCGGAUCAAGUGUCGUUCCUUGAAACGUUGGGAGUCGAUUGUGAAUUUCCACUUCUUGGAUACAGAUCAGAAUCUCAGCAGAGGCUCUGCGGGCACGAGGAUGAGCUCUACCAGAUCGUGGGGUAGCAAUUCCGCUCUAGAUGAGUUAUGUCUUUUCAGUUUUCAGCAACAUUCUACUUCGGUUCUACAGAAACUACUCAUGUGAGUUCUAUAAUUAAGAGUAUAUAUAGGCACACAAUUUUAUUCAGAAAAAAAAAGAAAAAAAGGAAAGUUUCCAUUGAGUAACACGGAAACAAACAUAUUCAUAUUGAACAAAACUUAGGUUCAACCUUUAAACUCACCUCCCUUCUUAAAGCACAUCCAAUGAGGUUCUACCCAUUAGAGCACUUUCAAUGGGGGUUCUUUCCAUUGGGGUUCUUAAUAUAUGUGUUAUGUAUAUAUAUAUAUAUGUAUGUAUACAUUAUAUAUGUAUAAGUAAUUGUAGGGUCCACAAUUUUUGUGGAACCCCAUAGGUAAGAGUUCUUAAAAGAGGGUUUUAAGAAUCCUUAUUUAUGGAGUUUCACAAUAAUUGUGGAUUCCACAAUUAUUUACACAUAUAUAAUAUAUACAUACAUAUAUAUACACAUAAUACAUAUAUUAAGAACUCCAAUGGGGUUUCUCCCCAUUGGAGAUGGUUUAAACUUGCCAUAUAUGUAUAUAUUGUAUAUGUAUAUGUAGUUGUGGGGUCCAUUAUUUUGGGAAGAACCCCUCCUUAAGAGACUUUAGGAGGGGUUUUUCCCAAAAUAAUGGAUCCCACAACCACAUACACAUAUACAAUCUAUAUACAAAAUUUUAAUAGUUAUAUAUUUUAAAUUAUAUUCAUUAACUAAUCUUUAAUUCAAUUGUUCGACGAAGCACUUUCGAAAGAUAAUUAUACUCUUAAAAAUCCAAGUGUCAGUGUUAGAGAGUAUAUGGUAGAUAAGUUUAACCGAGCCUUCAACAUGAAUAUAACUUAUGUGUUUUUUAAAAACAAGAUCGAUGAAUUUGAUCUCCACUCAAAUUACCCUAGAGAGUGAAUUACUCUCUCAAAUAAGAGGUUCAGUUGUAGUACUUAAGGAUCAAAUCCACGAGAAGCUAGGGAACCUAAUAAAUAUAAUCAGAGUGAUUAAGCUAGGUUGAUUAUGAUUAAAUGUAAAAAGCAGGUUUGUGAGCAAGGCAGUUGCUCGAUUGAUUUGAUUGGAUUUUUGAUGUUUUAGAUGAAAUAGCUAGCUUUAGGGUUUCUAUUCAGGUAAUCAGGAUUAUAAUCCUACAGAUUCCUAACAAGUUGUAUGCAUGAUAUUAUAAAGCUCAAACACUUAUAAACAAACCAAUCGGCGUUCGCUUUCUAGGUUUGUCUAGUGACCAGAUAUAAGUGUCGAUCGAUGAUUCUAGAGGAAUAUCGAUCGAUACACUUGUUGUACCGUCGAUCGAUUAUUAUAUAGGAAUAUCGAUCGACACGUUCUUAGUCAAGCUUUACGCGCGGGUUGAAUUAGGCUCACUAGGCUUCCUAGAUCAGCUUUCACCUUACUCUAGAAAUCCUAGCUCAAUUAGGACGGAUUCAGGGUGAAAUGCAAGUGAUGACUUGAGUCAACAACUCCUAGGCAAGUUCUAGCUAGCUAAACUAGAAACAUGAAUUAAUGACAAUUCUAAUGAUGAAUACACAACUUAGCAAUCUAUAGUUGGGGCUAAUCCUUCGUAACCUAUUUAAACCCUAAACCAAACAAUAGAAUUACUCAGACAUGGCUAAAUAAUUUAUAACAUCAAUUAGGUAUAAAAACUACAUAGAUAAAUAAAUAGAUAUUAAUGGAGUUUCAAUCACAAAUCUCUUUGGAUCUUCUCUCCAACUCUACUAAAAUCUUAGAAAACGUUUACUGUGAAAAUAAGAAAACAAAACGCAUCAUUUGCCUCUAACAUGUUUGCAAGCUAUAAAUAUUAGGUUUAAAUUCAUAAGGGAUAAUCUUGUAAAUUGGUGAAGUCUUGGACUCUAAGUCGGCUGGAACCAAACGGGCUUCUGCGCACUUCGCCGUCGAUCGAUGUUACAAGAUGUGCAUCGAUCGAUUAUUGUCUCUGAAUGUCUGCCAUUGGUCUUGCUUAAUGGUCAGCUCGGAUGUUUUCUCCAAUUAUCUCCAAAAUGCUCCAAAAUCAUCACUUUCUUUCAAAUCACUCAUGAUCCUAUAAAUAAACUAAAUAGACUCUACAACAUAAUAAUUAGUUAUUAAAACACUUAUAAAACAUGGCUAAAAGUGGGUAAAAUCCAUGGCCUAUCAACUCCCCCAGACUUAUCCUUUUGUUUGUACUCAAGAAAAACAUACAUGCAUUAUCUCUGAAAGAUGUUUGAAAAUAACAGGGACUCACAGAUUUAAAACUUAUAAUCAUCAUCUUAGGAAAUCCUAGUCUUUGAAGCACACUAUACCAUAUCCUAGUCUAGCAAC